CUAUGAACCCUUUCAUUGAGAAAAACUAGAUUAAAUGGAAAAUUACGUUUUAAAAAAUGUGAUUGAAGAUAUUAAAGAAUACCAAGGCAAUAAGAGAGAGGAUGGGAUGAGUCAGGCCCAAAAGACUAUUACUUCAGCUUGUGCAACUGGGAAAAUGAUCUUAGAGGAAUUUACAUUUAAAUUUAAGGGACCGAAGCUGACUGUCUACAGAUUUGGAAAUAUAGGUGCAAAUAUGAGGGUGACUUUGCACCUACAAUUGAUCAACAGGAACAUCCUAGAGAAGACAAUUGUCCUGGGGAGAUGAUGUGAGUGAAAUAGGAGGCCAGCAUGGAAAUAUGGAAUGUUCAGUCCUUGCUAGCCAAGAUGAGAGCAGAAAUAAAUGAUACGAAACUAAAAAUACAAAGGUGGUGCUGGUGUCCCUCCACUUCCCAAAAGAAUGAUGCCGGACUCAUUCUUGGUGCUGAAUGACAGGUUGAUUUCUGUUCCUACAUCAAUUGGCACAGGGGAGAGCUCCACAAAACCAGGCUUAGGAAAGCUAACUGUGUAAACAUUCGAGUGGGUGUCUAUGGCCAAUUCCAAAUUGGAGCCUGUAGCUAUGAACAAUGAAGAUCCUGAAAGUUCUGUUCCAGUCUUUAAACCUCAUCAUUCAAGUGGUGGAUUUACUUUUUUCUUUACCCACAUUUUCCCUUCAUUUCCCUAAUUCUAUUGGAGUGGUUUAAGAUAAUUUUGAUUAGAAGCAGCAGACAAAAUGAAUAAUUGUAUUAUGAUAGGAUAAUUAAAAAUGUAUGAGAAUG
rnacentral:lncRNA from 10 species